ACUAAAUAUAGAAUCAUGUGGGUACAAAAUCUUUUGCAAUUGCAAAUCUAACACAUUUACAUUGUUGCAGUACACAUGCUAUUCGAGUACCAAUAUCGCAAGUUCGCAACGCAUGGUUCGUGGACAAUCAGAAGCUCUGUGACAUCUAAUGCCCGCUGUAAUGAAAUAAGAACAUAAAAACUAAAAUGAGAUAAAAUAUUAUUUACCAAAAAAUGGAGGAAAUUUGGAAACAGAUGAAAAAUGGAUUACCGUUAACAUUCGUUGGAACAAGAAUUGGGAAGAGAAAGAUAAUUAUAACAUACAAAAAUUUGACAAUUUCAGCCAUAUUCCUCCACCUCCUAAUUAUGUAUGUAACAAUGUUUUUUAUCCAACUUUAUAAUUUUUAUAG
rnacentral:lncRNA from 1 species